CAGCAGUAACAGCAGCAGCAGCAGCAGUAGCAGCAGCAGCAGCAGUAGCAACAGCAGCAGCAGCAGUAGCAGCAGCAGCAGCAGUAGUAACAGCAGCAGCAGCAGCAGUAACAGCAGCAGCAGCAGCAGUAACAGCAGCAGCAGCAGUAGUAACAACAGCAGCAGCAGUAGCAACAGCAGCAGCAGCAGUAGUAACAGCAGCAGCAGCAGUAAUAGUAACAGCAGCAGCAGCAGUAGUAACAGCAGCAGCAGUAGCAACAACAGCAGCAGUAGUAGUAACAACAGCAGCAGCAGCAGUAGUAACAACAGCAACAGCAGUAGUAGUAACAACAACAACAGCAGUAGUAGUAACAACAACAACAGCAGUAGUAGUAACAACAACAGCAGCAGUAGUAGUAACAACAACAGCAGCAGCAGUAGUAACAACAGCAGUAGUUGCAGCAGUAGUAACAACAGCAGUAGUUGCAGCAGUAGUAACAACAGCAGUAGUUGCAGCAGUAGUAACAACAGCAGUAGUUGCAGCAGUAGUAACAACAGCAGUAGUUGCAGCAGUAGUAACAACAGCAGUAGUUGCAGCAGUAGUUGCAGCAGUAGUAACAACAGCAGUAGUUGCAGCAGUAGUAACAACAGCAGUAGUAGCAGCAGUAGUAACAACAGCAGUAGUUGCAGCAGUAGUAACAACAGCAGUAGUUGCAGCAGCAGCAACAGCAGUAGUUGCAGCAACAGCAGCAGCAGCAGUAGUAGCAGCAACAGCAGUAGUAGCAGCAACAGCAGUAGUAGCAGCAACAGCAGCAACAGCAGUAGUAGCAGCAACAGCAGUAGUAGCAGCAACAGCAGUAGUAGCAGCAGCAGCAGCAGUAGUAACAGCAGCAGUAGUAGCAGCAACAGCAGCAGUAGCAGCAACAGCAGUAGUAGUAGCAGCAACAGCAGCAGUAGUAGCAGCAGCAGCAGCAGCAGCAGCAGAGCAGCAGCAGCAGCAGCAGUAGUAGAAGCAGCAGCAGCAGUAACAACAGCAGCAGCAGUAACAACAGCAGCAGCAGCAGUAACAACAGCAACAGCAGCAGCAGUAACAGCAGCAGCAGUAGCAGCAGCAGCAGCAGCAGUAACAACAGCAGCAGCAGCAGUAACAACAGCAGCAGCAGCAGUAACAACAGCAGCAGCAGUAGCAACAGCAGCAGCAGCAGUAACAACAGCAGCAGCAGCAGUAACAACAGCAGCAGCAGUAACAACAGCAGCAGCAGCAGUAACAACAGCAGCAGCAGCAGUAACAGCAGCAGCAGCAGCAGUAACAACAGCAGCAGCAGUAACAGCAGCAGCAGCAGCAGUAGUAGUAACAACAACAGCAGCAGUAGUAGUAACAACAACAGCAGCAGCAGUAGCAACAGCAGCAGCAGCAGCAGUAACAACAACAGUAACAGCAGCAGCAGCAACAACAGCAGUAGCAGCAGCAGCAACAGCAGUAACAGCAGCAGCAACAGCAGCAGCAGUAACAGCAGCAGCAGCAGUAGCAGCAGCAGCAGUAGCAACAGCAGCAGCAGCAGCAGCAGCAGCAGCAACAGCAGCAGCAGCAGCAGUAGUAACAACAGCAGCAGCAGUAGUAACAGCAGCAGCAGCAGUAGUAACAACAGCAGCAGCAGCAGCAGUAGUAACAACAGCAGCAGCAGCAGCAGUAGUAACAACAGCAGCAGCAGCAGCAGUAACAGCAGCAGCAGCAGUAGCAACAACAGCAGCAGCAGUAGUAACAGCAGCAGCAGCAGUAGUAACAGCAGCAGCAGCAACAGCAGCAGUAGUAGCAGCAGCAGCAGUAACAACAACAGCAGCAGCAGCAGUAGCAACAACAGCAGCAGCAGCAGCAG
rnacentral:lncRNA from 1 species